rnacentral:misc_RNA from 1 species
UCGCUGGCAGCGCACCCCAUCCCCCAUCGGCAGCCGUGUUGAAACACCCACAUAUAUAUACACAAAAGCGGUGAAGCAGCAUCCGCAGCGGUAGCGCUUUUCACGCAUAGACUCACCAACCCUUCCACAUGUGCAGACACACGCGCAUAGACACAUCUGACCUGCUUCCACCUCCAGCUCUCUUCAUUGCUUUCUCUCCAUCACACCAGCAGAUAAAGAGUGCACCCAUAUCUCUCCGUCUAUCUGUGUGCGUGUCAAGACCGGCGCGCACACCCCAUCCGCAGCGCGCGCCUCUACGGCUCACCUUCUAUUUUUCCUUCUUCGCUUCACCUUCACAGAGAGAGAUAGAGACAUCGUCGUUGUCCGAGAAGUCAGGCUUCUUUUUUCAGUCAUCUCUCCGCCACCCCCUCUCCGUCCCCCCUCCACUCCAUGGACGCCACAUGGCAAUCCUCUAUCGACCGGACGCUGCGCUCCACGGAGGCGACGCUUGAGCAGCUGUCGCAUCGUCGCGACAACUACGAUCGCGCGAAGCGCCGCGUCGACGACUACCUUGGUGCGACACCGAACCGCCACGACGGCCCGCCCGCUCUAGAUGUGUUCGAUCAUGAUUUGAGUCUACCACCACCCUUGCCACAGCACCUCCGCUACCGUGCCGCGCGCAUGGCAGGCCCGUCUCCGCCAGCGCCGACCUCACUGGAUCCAUCGGCCCCCGCGCGGCGGUCACGCUUACUGUCGUCGGCAGGCGGUUGUGCGGAUCCGCGGCCACCUGGCCCGUCGUCGUCACCGCUACAGCUCGUAAAUGCACAGGUGCGAGGCGCGCUGUUGGAACUGGAGCUCGAGAAGGCGAAGCGGGCCGACAGCGUCCGUGAGCUGGCUCACCGCACCACUGCCGAGCUCUCUGAAAUGCGCAGUCUCAUCACGCAGCUCCAGACGGAGAACGAGGCGCUGAAAAAGUCUGUGCGCGCGCUGGAGGGGCGACUCGGGUAUGGGGGCAAGUGUGACAGUCAGCACAAGAGCGUAGAAAACAGUGCAGCCACGACCGCGGAUGGCGCGACCUCGAUAUCCCUGUCUGGUGCAUUCGCCCGGCCAACGCAUGCAGGCAUGUUGUCUUCUUCGACCGUCAACAAUGGAUUUGGCCCUGCGCACGACGCAACGAUGCCUGCCGGUGCCGCGGCGUCGCUCGCGGCCCGCGUGGAAGCACUCGAGGCAGGGCUCGCGCGGCAGCAGCAGCAGGCAGAGGACCGGCAGACACGCGUGGCAAGCCUGCUGCACGAGCUGGUAAAGGCGGAGGUAGGCUCCGAGGUGUCGCAGGUGCGCGCGUUGGCACGGGAAGCAGCCCGCGAUAGCGCGGAAAACUUGCUGAAGCUGCGGCUCUCUGCCCUGCAGUCAAGCACCCAAGCGGAUCUCCAGAAGGCGCUGCACAUCGCAUCGGCGAGCGAAACCGUGGCCCAGCACGCACAGCAGCAGUGCCGCGAAGCAGAGCAACGACUAUACUCCCACAUGCACAAGCUGCAGGCACAGUUGUCGGAGUGGCAACGCACGCAUAGCAGCGAUGCGUCGGGCAGCGCCGCCGCCGCUGCGUUGGUGUCAAGCCAGCAGGAGCAGGAGCGUAUUGCCACGGUGGACCGCCGCAUUGCUGAGCAGCUGCGCGGCGUGCAAAGGCAGCUACAGGAGUACCGUGCCGACGUCGAGGCGCAAGUGGACCGGCUGGCACAGCAGCACAAAGUGCUCUCCAGCGUGGUGCAAGGAAAGGCUGAUGCUGGUGAAUUGCUAGCGGUGCGCGAGCAUGUAGAGGAGCAGCAGAGAGAUGGCAGCAGCGAGUGGAUGUCGCGUGAUCAGGUGACCGCUCUGCUGCGGGCGCAGCUGCAGCCCCUCCACGAUGAGGUGCGCAAGACACAGGCCAUGGCGCAAGAGAACCUUGGUGGCGCCGAUGCGUGGCGACAGCAAGCUGCGAUGCGCUUGGCGGCAGUCGAAGCCAGCAUGAAGGCGUACUCCGCGGAAACGCUGCAGGAUCAGCAAUGGCAAAGCUGCGCACGUGACAUACAGCGGUUGCGGACAGACAUGAGCAGCGUCCAGUCCUGCGCCGCAGAGGCAGUGAGGCAAGCCAGGGCGGAGCUGGCGGAUGUCUGGGAUGCCAAGGUGAGGCUACUGGAGGAGCGCACGCAGCAGAUGCACCGAGAACGUCAGCAGCAGACCGACGCACAGCUCCGCCAGCUGCAGCAGACACUGGCGGAACAGCAGGAGGCGCUGCAGCGAGCUCGUGUGGCAGGGGAGUCCUCGGAUGAGCGUCUACGGCGGACGGAGGCGGCACUUGCUGCGGUUGAGGCAACCCUGCCACGCGCGGUGGAAGGCGUUCGGGCCAGGUGCGAGGCGCUGCAGGGACUCAUUCAGCAGACGUGCGUACUUCCGGUGACCCGGGUGCAGCAGGACAUCGAGGAAGCGCAGCGCAAGCUGCAGGCGGCGGAGGAAGACCGGAUACGGCUGAACAGCAGCUGGACGCAGCAGCUGGCAGAAGCGAGGCAGUACCACGAAGAACGCGCCCGGCACACCCGGGAGGUGCUCGAACAGCGCCUCGCUCACCACAAAGAGCUCUAUGAGGAACUCAGGACACAACAGACCCUUCAGCGGCGUGCCGCGGAGGAGCAGCAUCAGCAACUCAUGGACCGUGUCCGCCAAGUUCAACAGCAGCAACAGUAUGGGGCGUCGAGCGUGGUGGCGCUGACGCCUGUGCGCGAGCCGCCUGCAGAGGGGGAGAGCACUCCUGCGCUGGCGACAGCGGCGCCGACCACCAUGGCCAGCACGUCAGGGCCGGAGGAAGGUCAGCACAGCCUGCAACUGCUAGCCAGCCGCCUUCAGGUUCUCGAUAACCGCCUCGAGGCAGUCGAGGAGGCGUGCGCUAAGGUGCCCUUCACCGUCGCUGACGCGACAGCCUCGGUCGCAAAGCGUCUGGAAGGGCUGCAGAACCGCGUGCACGCCGAGGCCGACGACGGGAGAAAGCGGCACGAUGCGCUAAAGCGCGACAUGGAACUGCAGCUGGGUGCGGUGUCGAGGAAGUGCUCAGAAACGGCAGCGUCCAUCGACACUCAGUCGGCACGCACGGCGCGUCAAGUGGAAGAGCUCCUUUCCCCGCUGCAACUUGUCACGCACCUUGCAGCCAACGAUUCGUGUCUUCAGCACCUCGCGCGUCGCCUGCGAGACCACCUGGAGCUGGCGCCCGAGAACACAGCUGCUUUGGCUGAUGUGCGUGCUCACCUCGUGGUACAGGCAAAAACGCUGGAGGUGUUGCAGGCAUCGGUGCAAGACACGCAGCAGAGGCUCACCGGGCUCAGCGAGAUGCGCCUUGCAGAUCAAACGUCUGCCGCCGUUCCCUCUUCAAGCUCAGAGAUGGAGUCUGCCGCAGCUGCAGAGGCGGCGGCUGCACGAGAGGAGAUGCCGAAUGUCGUUCGGAGCCUACAGGUAGCGCUUGAGGAACAGCGUGAGCGUCAGGAGGACCUCGAAAAAGGCCUGCGUCACGUCACGACGGAGCAGCUCACCACCAUCACCACGGAGCUGGCUGAGCUCAAGCGGGUAACAGACAGCGUCCCGCUUGAGCUCGCCAAGCUUGCCGAACAGUGCAGCGCACUCCAAUCGGUGCAGCGGCAGCAGCUGCCGACGCUGCAGAAGUACGUGCAGGAUGUCGUCGAUGUGGUCGAGUCGAACCAGUCGGCGCAGAUGGGCCCGAUCCAGCUGCGGCUGCGCGCCGUCGAGGAUCGUCACAAGCAUCUGCAGGCGCGAGUGGAGGAGGUCAGCGCAACCCACGAGGCGGAUGCGGCGCAGAAGGUGCAAGAUCUGCACAGGACGUUGGGCCAGCAGCAGAAGGUGCACAAAGCUGUUGAGGAGCAGCUGGCAGGUUUGCGCGACAACGUGGCGGCCACACGAGCGGACGUCGACUCUCUGGCGCAGCGCAUGGCUGCCGCAGAGCAGGUGAGGGAGCACGCGACAGACCUGCAAGUCGUCGCGUCAUCCGCCAAAGCCAACGGAACCGCCGCAGCGAAAACGGACGAAGCGCUCGUGGUACCCGAUGCUGUGGCGGAGCUGCGCCUGUACAUGGAGGACAUCGAUGAACGGCUUGCCCAACUGGAGGAGCAGGCGCACAGCUCGGUGUCUGUGACGGCAGAGAUGCUGGGGGCGUUUCGCGAUCAACUCCAACAUGUCGUUGGCCGCUUUGCGGCAGCCGCCGCGCAGUUCACCGGAAAUGCAGAGGGCAACGAAGCGAACGAGGCAGAGAAUGGUGAUGCCGCAGCGACGGAGGCGGCGGUGGCGGCCACGAAGGGUGUUUCUUGCUCCACACAGCCGCCCAUCCACAGCCUUGAGGACGUUCUCUUAUUCCUUCUUCACCAACUCCACCAAUUUCAGCACGCGCUGCGGCAGCUGCAGUCGAACACGGUGGAUACGCUGGAGAUACUCGAACAGCAUGAGGAGAGUGUCGCGCCGCUACCAAUGCUCCAGCACACUGUCGAUGUGAUGGCCGCCACCCUUCUGCCACUCGCGGAGCGGCUCGGUGUGGACGCUGCUGCCGUCCGCGCUGUCUCGGCGCAGCCGCAGCAUCGCCACCAUCACCAUGUCUCGCUGUUCCCGCCCUCGCGCAGCAGCAGCAGUAGCGGCAGCAGUGCGUCUGAGAAGUGUGAGUGGGUCCGAGGGUGACCACCUGGACACGUUUAGAGCGAAGAGAGUGGGAGGGAGGGUGGGGUAGCUGGUGGCGCGGAGACGAUGCAAUGUGUGCCAAUGCCUUGAUUUUUCCUCCCACUCGGUUCGCUUUCCUGGAUCGCUAGUUCUUCACCGAUGUGAUCUCCCUCGUGUGCUUGGGUUGUAUAUAUGUUCGUGGGCAUGUGUUUCGCUUGGAAAGACAGUCGCCAU